rnacentral:rRNA from 1 species
UGUUUGGAGAGUUUGAUCCUGGCUCAGGAUGAACGCUGGCGGCGCGCUUUAUGCAUGCAAGUCGAACGGUCUUUUUCGCAAGGGAAAGACAGUGGCGAACGGGUGAGUAACGCGUAAGUAACCUGUCCUUAAGUGGGGGAUAGCCCCGGGAAACUGGGGUUAAUACCGCAUGUAGUCCUUCACCGCAGGGUGAAGGACUAAAGCCGUAAGGCGCUUGAGGAGGGGCUUGCGUCCGAUUAGCUAGUUGGUAGGGUAACGGCCUACCAAGGCAGUGAUCGGUAGCUGGUCUGAGAGGAUGGUCAGCCACACUGGGACUGAGACACGGCCCAGACUCCUACGGGAGGCAGCAGCAAGGAAUUUUGUGCAAUGGGCGAAAGCCUGACACAGCGACGCCGCGUGAGGGAUGAAGGCCUUCGGGUUGUAAACCUCUUUUCUCAGGGACGAAUAAUGACGGUACCUGAGGAAUAAGUCUCGGCUAACUACGUGCCAGCAGCCGCGGUAAUACGUAGGAGGCUAGCGUUAUCCGGAUUUAUUGGGCGUAAGGAGCGCGUAGGCGGCUUUUCAAGUCGGAUGUAAAAUCUCCCGGCUUAACUGGGAGGGAUCGUCCGAUACUGUUGGGCUUGAGUGCAGCAGAGGGAAGCGGAAUUCCCGGUGUAGUGGUGAAAUACGUAGAUAUCGGGAGGAACACCAGUGGCGAAGGCGGCUUUCUA